AGCGGAUGAGAGGAGCUUGCUCCUUGAUUUAGCGGCGGACGGGUGAGUAAUGCCUAGGAAUCUGCCUGGUAGUGGGGGAUAACGUUCCGAAAGGAACGCUAAUACCGCAUACGUCCUACGGGAGAAAGCAGGGGACCUUCGGGCCUUGCGCUAUCAGAUGAGCCUAGGUCGGAUUAGCUAGUUGGUGAGGUAAUGGCUCACCAAGGCGACGAUCCGUAACUGGUCUGAGAGGAUGAUCAGUCACACUGGAACUGAGACACGGUCCAGACUCCUACGGGAGGCAGCAGUGGGGAAUAUUGGACAAUGGGCGAAAGCCUGAUCCAGCCAUGCCGCGUGUGUGAAGAAGGUCUUCGGAUUGUAAAGCACUUUAAGUUGGGAGGAAGGGCAUUAACCUAAUACGUUAGUGUUUUGACGUUACCGACAGAAUAAGCACCGGCUAACUUCGUGCCAGCAGCCGCGGUAAUACGAAGGGUGCAAGCGUUAAUCGGAAUUACUGGGCGUAAAGCGCGCGUAGGUGGUUCGUUAAGUUGGAUGUGAAAGCCCCGGGCUCAACCUGGGAACUGCAUCCAAAACUGGCGAGCUAGAGUACGGUAGAGGGUGGUGGAAUUUCCUGUGUAGCGGUGAAAUGCGUAGAUAUAGGAAGGAACACCAGUGGCGAAGGCGACCACCUGGACUGAUACUGACACUGAGGUGCGAAA
rnacentral:rRNA from 1 species